rnacentral:rRNA from 1 species
CACCGCGGUUAGACGGGAGGCCCAAGUUGAUAGACGUCGGCGUAAAGCGUGGUUAAAAAAAUAAAAACACUAAGACCGAAUGCUUAUCAGUACUGUUAAACGUAUUCUGAAAGUUAGAAGUUCAAUCACGAAAGUGGUCUUAAUCAAUAUUGAAUCCACGAAAGCUAUGACA